rnacentral:rRNA from 1 species
GGAUAACCUGCCCUUGGGUCCGGCAUAACCCCGGGAAACUGGGGAUAAUUCCGGAUAACGCACAUAUGCUGGAAUGCUUUAUGCGUAAAAUGGAUUCGUCUGCCCAAGGAUGGGUCUGCGGCCUAUCAGGUAGUAGUGGGUGUAAUGUACCUACUAGCCAACAACGGGUACGGGUUGUGAGAGCAAGAGCCCGGAGAUGGAUUCUGAGACAUGAAUCCAGGCCCUACGGGGCGCAGCAGGCGCGAAAACUUUACAAUGCGGGAAACCGUGAUAAGGGGACACCGAGUGCCAGCGUCAUACGCUGGCUGUCCAGGUGUGUAAAAUACACCUGUUAGCAAGGGCCGGGCAAGACCGGUGCCAGCCGCCGCGGUAACACCGGCGGCCCGAGUGGUGAUCGUGAUUAUUGGGUCUAAAGGGUCCGUAGCCGGUUUGGUCAGUCCUCCGGGAAAUCUGAUAGCUCAACUAUUAGGCUUUCGGGGGAUACUGCCAGACUUGGAACCGGGAGAGGUAAGAGGUACUACAGGGGUAGGAGUGAAAUCUUGUAAUCCCUGUGGGACCACCUGUGGCGAAGGCGUCUUACCAGAACGGGUCCGACGGUGAGGGACGAAAGCUGGGGGCACGAACCGGAUUAGAUACCCGGGUAGUCCCAGCCGUAAACGAUGCUCGCUAGGUGUCAGGCAUGGCGCGACCGUGUCUGGUGCCGCAGGGAAGCCGUGAAGCGAGCCACCUGGGAAGUACGGCCGCAAGGCUGAAACUUAA